rnacentral:rRNA from 1 species
GACGAACGCUGGCGGCGCGCCUAACACAUGCAAGUCGAACGGGGUCUUUUAGGAGCUUGCUCCUGGCUGACCUAGUGGCGGACGGGUGAGUAACACGUGAGCAACCUGCCGAGAAGUGGGGGAUAACGUUUGGAAACAGACGCUAAUACCGCAUAACAUCCGCAAAUGGCAUCAUUUAUGGAUCAAAGGAGCAAUCCGCUUUUUGAUGGGCUCGCGACCGAUUAGAUAGUUGGUGAGGUAACGGCGCACCAAGGCGACGAUCGGUAGCCGGACUGAGAGGUUGAACGGCCACAUUGGGACUGAGACACGGCCCGGACUCCUACGGGAGGCAGCAGUGGGGAAUAUUGCACAAUGGGGGAAACCCUGAUGCAGCGAGGCCGCGUGAGUGAAGACGGCCUUCGGGUUGUAAAGCUCUGUUGCAGAGGACGAUAAUGACGGUACUCUGCUAGAAAGCCACGGCUAACUACGUGCCAGCCGCCGCGGUAAAAC